rnacentral:rRNA from 1 species
GACGAACGCUGGCGGCGUGCCUAACACAUGCAAGUCGAGCGAGGGGAGUUCUUCGGAACGAAUCUAGCGGCGGACGGGUGAGUAACACGUGGGCAACCUGCCUUAUAGAGGGGAAUAGCCUUCCGAAAGGAAGAUUAAUACCGCAUAACAUUGUAGUUUCGCAUGAAGCAACAAUUAAAGGAGAAAUCCGCUAUAAGAUGGGCCCGCGGCGCAUUAGCUAGUUGGUGAGGUAACGGCUCACCAAGGCGACGAUGCGUAGCCGACCUGAGAGGGUGAUCGGCCACAUUGGGACUGAGACACGGCCCAG